CCUACGGGAGGCAGCAGUGGGGAAUAUUGCACAAUGGGGGAAACCCUGAUGCAGCGACGCCGCGUGAGUGAAGAAGGAAUUCGGUACGUAAAGCCCUAUCAGCAGGGAAGAAAAUGACGGUAUCUGAGUAAGAAGCCCCGGCUAACUACGUGCCAGCAGCCGCGGUAAUACGUAGGGGGCAAGCGUUAUCCGGAUUUACUGGGUGUAAAGGGCGCGUAGGCGGGGUGGCAAGUCAGAUGUGAAAUGCCGUAGCUUAACCGCAGAACUGCAUUGGAAACUGUUGUUCUAGAGUGCGGGAGGGGUAGGUGGAAUUCCUGGUGUAGCGGUGAAAUGCGUAGAGAUUAAGAGGAAUACCGAUUGCGAAGGCGACUUGCUGGAACAUAACUGACGUUGAGGCGCGAAAGCGUGGGGAGCAAACAGGAUUAGAUACCCUUGUAGUC
rnacentral:rRNA from 1 species